rnacentral:rRNA from 1 species
UACGUAGGCAGCAAGCGUUGUUCGGAGUUACUGGGCGUAAAGGGUGCGUAGGCGGCUUUUUAAGUUUGGUGUGAAAUCUCCCGGCUCAACUGGGAGGGUGCGCCGAAUACUGAGAGGCUAGAGUGUGGGAGAGGAAAGUGGAAUUCCUGGUGUAGCGGUGAAAUGCGUAGAUAUCAGGAGGAACACCGGUGGUGUAAACGGCUUCUGGACCAUAACUGACGCUGGAUGCACGAAAGCGUGGGUAGCAAACAGG